AUUGAACGCUGGCGGCAGGCCUAACACAUGCAAGUCGAGCGGUAGAGAGGUGCUUGCAUCUCUUGAGAGCGGCGGACGGGUGAGUAAUGCCUAGGAAUCUGCCUAGUGGUGGGGGAUAACGUUCGGAAACGGACGCUAAUACCGCAUACGUCCUACGGGAGAAAGCGGGGGAUCUUCGGACCUCGCGCCAUUAGAUGAGCCUAGGUCGGAUUAGCUAGUUGGUGAGGUAAUGGCUCACCAAGGCGACGAUCCGUAACUGGUCUGAGAGGAUGAUCAGUCACACUGGAACUGAGACACGGUCCAGACUCCUACGGGAGGCAGCAGUGGGGGAAUAUUGGACAAUGGGCGAAAGCCUGAUCCAGCCAUGCCGCGUGUGUGAAGAAGGUCUUCGGAUUGUAAAGCACUUUAAGUUGGGAGGAAGGGUAGUAACCUAAUACGUU
rnacentral:rRNA from 1 species